rnacentral:rRNA from 1 species
UGGGGAAUAUUGGACAAUGGGGGAAACCCUGAUCCAGCAAUGCCGCGUGUGUGAAGAAGGCCUUCGGGUUGUAAAGCACUUUCGGUUGGGAGGAAAAUCCUAUAACUAAUACUUAUAGGCUUGACGCUACCUUCAUAAGAAGCACCGGCUAACUCUGUGCCAGCAGCCGCGGUAAUACAGAGGGUGCAAGCGUUAAUCGGAAUUAUUGGGCGUAAAGCGCACGUAGGCGGAUAAGUAAGUUGGAUGUGAAAGCCCCGGGCUUAACCUGGGAACUGCAUUCAAAACUGCUUGUCUAGAGUAUGAUAGAGGAGAGUGGAAUUUCCGGUGUAGCAGUGAAAUGCGUAGAUAUCGGAAGGAACAUCAGUGGCGAAGGCGACUCUCUGGAUUAAUACUGACGCUC